CUCUGCAGUACUUCAUAGAAUCAUUUCUAUAGUAAACGUCCUCUUCUGUGUUCUCUCUCACGAGCCACAGACCUCAACCUGGCUGAUGAUUCGAAGUUGACGAUACCCUAGAGUGAAUUUUUUGUACUCUCGACGCGCGUGGACGGGACUUGUCUCUGAAGCGCAAGAGAGUGGUGAUGAUCUUUGACCCAACUCGAGGCCUGGCCUAGUGCCGCUUGAUGAGGGAGGUAUCGUUUGACUGAAUCUGACAGGC
rnacentral:snoRNA from 1 species